GGAGGGUGCGAGCGUUAAUCGGAAUUACUGGGCGUAAAGCGAGUGUAGGCGGCUGCAUAAGUCGGAUGUGAAAGCCCUGGGCUUAACCUGGGAAUUGCAUUCGAUACUGUGCGGCUAGAGUCUGAUAGAGGGAAGUGGAAUUCCGGGUGUAGCGGUGAAAUGCGUAGAGAUCCGGAGGAACACCAGUGGCGAAGGCGGCUUCCUGGAUCAAGACUGACGCUGAGGGCUCGAAAGCGUGGGGAGCAAACAGGAUUAGAUACCCUGGUAGUCCCACGCCCCUAAACGAUGUCAACUAGACGUUGGGCUCAUUUCGGAGUCAAGUGUCGAAGCUAACGCGUUAAGUUGACCGCCUGGGGAGUACGGCCGCAAGGUUG
rnacentral:rRNA from 1 species